rnacentral:rRNA from 1 species
GACGAACGCUGGCGGCGUGCUUAACACAUGCAAGUCGAACGGAAAGGCCCUGCUUUUGUGGGGUGCUCGAGUGGCGAACGGGUGAGUAACACGUGAGUAACCUGCCCUUGACUUUGGGAUAACUUCAGGAAACUGGGGCUAAUACCGGAUAGGAGCUCCUGCUGCAUGGGGGGGGUUGGAGAGUUUCGGCGGUUGGGGAUGGACUGGCGGCUUAUCAGCUUGUUGGUGGGGUAGUGGCUUACCAAGGCUUUGACGGGUAGCCGGCCUGGGAGGGUGACCGGCCACCUUGGUCCUGAGAUACGGCCCAGACUCCUACGGGAGGCAGCAGUGGGGAAUAUUGCACAAUGGGCGGAAGCCUGAUGCAGCAACGCCGCGUGCGGGAUGACGGCCUUCGGGUUGUAAACCGCUUUCGCCUGUGACGAAGCGUGAGUGACGGUAAUGGGUAAAGAAGCACCGGCUAACUACGUG